UCACAAACACAGCAAUGUCACACAAGCAUUUGUGUUGUCUAAAACAGUUCUAUAUAUUUGGAGUCAUCCAGUGCAAAAAUAAACAUAUUGAACAUUAUAAUUCAUAUAAAAGGACAAACUAUUUGCAUUUCUUACAUACAAAAAAGGCCGAAAUGUAUGCA